GGCUUGGCUCGAUGGCUGCAGCUGAUAGAUGGGGAGCUACUUUUAAUGCCAUCCCUUCUUGAAAGGACAAUAAGUCCUUAAUAGGGACCACUGAAACCUCAUUGGAAGAUGUGGGACAUCAGGCAUGAAAUGGAGACACCUAUCCGGUGUUGUUGGAUGCGGCACAGAUGUUUUGGUGUGGUCGACCCCAAAGGAUUUCCACAUGGCCUGUUUAGGGCUACCCAUAUCGGUGGUGACAGCAAGCACAUGUAGCCCUAUGGAUGCUGCCCUCUCUAUUAAUUCUGUAACUAUUGGCUUGUAUUCUGCUCCGUUGGUAGAAUUGCCACUGUAAUGAUAUGCCACUACUUGUUUCCAGCGAGUUGUGUUUCCAGCCAACAUAAACACACAAGCAUGUGUUGCUACUCCUGUGUGACCUGGCAAAGUGACAUCACCAUAGAGUUUGCCUGUCAGCAUGUGCAGCUCAACACUUGGAGUGAUUGCCAUUUCAUCCAAGGACAGCACACACUCCCUUUCAAGGGUUCUGAUCGCUGGCAAGGGAAUCUGCAAUUCCUGUAGGGUCUUGUAACCAGUUGGACCGGCUGCAAAGCAAAUUUUUAAUGCCUUC